AAUUCAGAUUAUCAUGAUGAUAUUUGAAAUUUCAAUUCAAUCUAUUAGGUUUUUACUUUUUAAAGCGCAGUAGUUUAUCGUCUUAACAAAUUCUUGUGGACUACAUAAUUUAUUUCUCAUUAACCUAGAUCUAAGAAUUUCUAAGCGAGGAAAACUUUAAAAAAAGAAGGCAUCCCCUACAGACAAAUACACACGCGAACACGCAUAGCUGUGAAAGUAUUCUCCUUGGGACAUACAACCAUAAUGGCACAACAAUCAAGUGAUGGAGAAAACAAGAAAACUGAGUGGAAACAACACAAAUUCACUACUCAAAUCAUUUUGAGAAUGGCAGAGACAGAAAACGGCGCAGAAACUGGAGCUUAUUCGACAUGUGAAGUGCUUUUUGCCAGUUAUCAUGAGCUGCAGUUGGUCUAUCAUUCAUUUUUGUCUUUGCCUGUGUGUAUGUGUGCGUGUGUGUUUCAGUGUGUGUAUAAUGCAAUUGCAUGCAUCAAAUUUGGAUGCAACAAAUUUGCUGAAGCACUCGUCAUUGUGCAACAAAAUCACUUGAUAAUACAAAUAAUAUGAGAAAAA